rnacentral:rRNA from 1 species
AGAGUUUGAUCCUGGCUCAGGAUGAACGCUGGCGGCGCGCCUAACACAUGCAAGUCGAACGGCACCCCUCCUCGGAGGGAAGCGAGUGGCGAACGGCUGAGUAACACGUGGAGAACCCGCCCCCUCCUCCGGGAUAGCCUCGGGAAACCGUGGGUAAUACCGGAUGACCCCGCAGGGCCGCAUGGCCCCGCGGGCAAAGCCCAGACGGGAGGGGAUGGCUCCGCGGCCCAUCAGGUAGACGGCGGGGUGACGGCCCACCGUGCCGACGACGGGUAGCCGGGUUGAGAGACCGACCGGCCAGAUUGGGACUGAGACACGGCCCAGACUCCUACGGGAGGCAGCAGUGGGGAAUCUUGCGCAAUGGGGGGAACCCUGACGCAGCGACGCCGCGUGCGGGACGAAGGCCCUCGGGUCGUAAACCGCUUUCAGCAGGGAUGAGACAAGACGGUACCUGCAGAAGAAGCCCCGGCUAACUACGUGCCAGCAGCCGCGGUAAUACGUAGGGGGCGAGCGUUAUCCGGAUUCAUUGGGCGUAAAGCGCGCGUAGGCGGCCCGGCAGGCAGGGGGUCAAAUGGCGGGGCUCAACCCCGUCCCGCCCCCUGAACCGCCGGGCUCGGGUCCGGUAGGGGAGGGUAGAACACCCGGUGUAGCGGUGGAAUGCGCAGAUAUCGGGUGGAACACCGGUGGCGAAGGCGGCCCUCUGGGCCGAGACCGACGCUGAGGCGCGAAAGCUGGGGGAGCGAACAGGAUUAGAUACCCUGGUAGUCCCAGCCGUAAACGAUGGACGCUAGGUGUGGGGGGGACGAAUCCCUCCGGUGCCGCAGCCCACGCAUUAA